GAUGAACGCUAGCGACAGGCCUAACACAUGCAAGUCGAGGGGCAGCACAUGAGUAGCAAUACGAUGGUGGCGACCGGCGCACGGGUGAGUAACACGUAUGCAACCUGCCUUCUACUAUGGGAUAACCCGUUGAAAGACGGACUAAUACCGUAUAAUACAGGGGCUCCGCAUGGAGAUAUUUGUUAAAGAUUUAUUGGUAGAAAAUGGGCAUGCGUAUGAUUAGAUAGUUGGUGAGGUAACGGCUCACCAAGUCAACGAUCAUUAGGGGUUCUGAGAGGAAGGUCCCCCACACUGGGACUGAGACACGACCAGACUCCUACGGGAGGCAGCAGUGAGGAAUAUUGGUCAAUGGACGAGAGUCUGAACCAGCCAAGUCGCGUGAAGGAAGACGGUUCUAUGAAUUGUAAACUUCUUUUGUGCAGGAAUAAAGUGGGUUACGUGUAACCUUUUGUAUGUACUGUACGAAUAAGGAUCGGCUAACUCCGUGCCAGCAGCCGCGGUAACAC
rnacentral:rRNA from 1 species